rnacentral:rRNA from 1 species
UAAGACCUCAAAUCAGGUGGGACUACCUUAAGACCUCAAAUCAGGUGGGACUACCUGCUGAACUUAAGCAUAUCAAUAAGCGG